AGCUUGUAGUUACAACUCCAGUGCAGUAGGUGGCCGUAGCCUACUAUGCAUUGUAACUUCGCUAAUUGCACUUAAUUCACCUGGUGGGACAGAAGAAGAAAGAAGAAAGAAGAAAGAAGAAAGAAGAAAGAAGAAGAAGACAUGACGACGACGAAGUAAAGGAAUAAUGGACCGACCGGAUCAAAAUAUGAGGGUAUUACGGCAGCUCAAGCAUUGGCCAUCAGACCGCCGCCAUCUUGCGACGACUGCUGAGGGGGAAAAGAAAAUCUGCAACGAAACAGCAGCAAGAACAGCUGGUGACCACCAGAGGGAGCUUUGAGGUUGCAAGAGGACACCGCCAACAACAUGGCUCAGGAGGUCCGUGAGGCUGGAGAGAGGCAUCCUGAGGUCCGUGUCCAAAGCGAGGGGGUCGAGGAUCGAGGGAGGCGGUCAGAGUCCAGAGGGGGACCCGGGAAGUGUGGCGCACAGCUCACUUCCAAGGCGAUGGAGGAUACCGAGGUAACAGGGAAACGACAGGAACAAGUGAGCGCAAGCAGCAGAGGAAUACAGAGAGCAAACGCAGGAGAGGAGCCAAAGAUGCAAAGUUUACUGUCAGACGGAGAACUACGUUCCAGCACUGGAUCGUCUGCUGCUUUGGUCUUUAUGCUGUCGACCCUCAUUAUACUCAGGUGCGCUGAUUGCAUAUUGCCCACUUACCCGGAUGCGCAAGGACAAUCCAUCAAGCGGUGCGGCUUCAAAGCUUACCGAAGUCGUACUAAAAACAUUUUGACAGAUUUUGGAACGCCGUGUGUAAUGUUCUAUGUUCUCAAAAGUACAUUUAAAGUUUUGGUGUUGUUUACUGCCAUUGUAUUGCAGUCUAAACAUAUCUCUUGUGUGUGACUGCCAUCUACUGGUCACACUUAU